AUGAAUCUUAUGAGCUGGAACUGCUGAGGGCUUGGGAACCCUUGGUCAGUUCGUGAGCUUCGCAAGUUAGUAAAGCAAGAAGGGCCCGCCCUGCUAUUUUUCAUGGAGAGAAAGAUCAGGGGUAAGUGAGUGGAGGAUAUGAAAACCUCUUUAGGUUUUUCUGGUUGUUUCGCCGUCGAUAGUGACGGGCUUAGUGGAGGGAUUGGAUUGUUUUGGUCGAAUGAUGUUACUGUUACUCUAUAG
rnacentral:rRNA from 1 species